rnacentral:rRNA from 1 species
CCCUUAGAUGUUCUGGGCCGCACGCGUGCUACACUGAGUGGAUCAGCGGGUCAGGUUGCGCGAAAGCGUUUCCUAAUCUUUAAAUCCGCUCGUGAUGGGGAUUGACGGUUGCAAUUUUCUGUCAUGAACGAGGAAUACCUUGUAAGCGCGGGUCAUCAUCCCGCGCUGAAUACGUCCCUGCCCUUUGUACACACCGCCCGUCGCUCCUACCGAUUGAAUGGCUUAGUGAGCUUUCUGGACUGUUGCUUUUCGUUGGAAACUUCGUUAAGCAUACGGGAAGGAAAUCAAACUUGAUCAUUUAGAGGAAGUAAAAGUCGUAACA